rnacentral:rRNA from 1 species
UACGUAGGUGGCAAGCGUUGUCCGGAAUUAUUGGGCGUAAAGCGCACGUAGGCGGUUUGUUAAGUCGGAUGUGAAAUCCCUCGGCUCAACUGAGGAAGUGCAUUCGAAACUGGCAAGCUUGAGUACGAAAGAGGGUCGCGGAAUUCCCGGUGUAGAGGUGAAAUUCGUAGAUAUCGGGAGGAACACCGGUGGCGAAGGCGGCGACCUGGGUCGAUACUGACGCUGAGGUGCGAAAGCGUGGGGAGCAAACAGG